CGCAGCCGCGGUAAUUCCAGCUCCAAUAGCGUAUGUUAAAGUUGUUGCAGUUAAAAAGCUCGUAGUUGAACUUCAGGCUUGGUCGGGCGGUCUGCCUCACGGUAUGUACUGUCUGACUGAGUCUUACCUCUUGGUGAGCCGGCGUGCGCUUUAUUGUGUGCGUCGGGGAACCAGGACUUUUACCUUGAGAAAAUUAGAGUGUUCAAAGCAGGCUUAUGCCUGAAUACAUUAGCAUGGAAUAAUAAAAUAGGACGUGCGGUUCUAUUUUGUUGGUUUCUAGAGUCGCCGUAAUGAUUAAUAGGGAUAGUUGGGGGCAUUGGUAUUGAGUCGCUANAGGUGAAAUUCUUGGAUUGACUCANGACCGACUAUUGCGAAAGCAUUUGCCAAGGAUGUUUUCAUUAAUCANGAACGAAGGUUANGGGAUCGAAAACGAUCANANACCGUUGUAUUCNUAAACANUAAAA
rnacentral:rRNA from 1 species